rnacentral:rRNA from 1 species
CUACGGAGGGUGCGAGCGUUGUUCGGAAUCACUGGGCGUAAAGGGCGCGCAGGCGGUUUGUCAAGUCAGAUGUGAAAGGCCACGGCUCAACCGUGGAGGUGCAUCUGAAACUGGCAGACUUGAGUACCGGAGGGGAAAGUGGAAUUCCCGGUGUAGAGGUGAAAUUCGUAGAUAUCGGGAGGAACACCGGAGGCGAAGGCGACUUUCUGGACGGAUACUGACGCUGAGGCGCGAAAGCGUGGGGAGCAAACAGGAUUAGAUACCCUAGUAGUCC